rnacentral:rRNA from 1 species
AUUGAACGCUGGCGGCAGGCCUAACACAUGCAAGUCGAGCGGAUGAAGGGAGCUUGCUCCUGGAUUCAGCGGCGGACGGGUGAGUAAUGCCUAGGAAUCCCUGGUAGUGGGGGAUAACGUCCCGAGACGGGCGCUAAUACCGCAUACGUCCUGAGGGAGAAAGUGGGGGAUCUUCUGACCUCACGCUAUCAGAUGAGCCUAGGUCGGAUUAGCUAGUUGGUGGGGUAAAGGCCUACCAAGGCGACGAUCCGUAACUGGUCUGAGAGGAUGAUCAGUCACACUGGAACUGAGACACGGUCCAGACUCCUACGGGAGGCAGCAGUGGGGAAUAUUGGACAAUGGGCGAAAGCCUGAUCCAGCCAUGCCGCGUGUGUGAAGAAGGUCUUCGGAUUGUAAAGCACUUUAAGUUGGGAGGAAGGGCAGUAAGUUAAUACCUUGCUGUUUUGACGUUACCAACAGAAUAAGCACCGGCUAACUUCGUG